CCCAUUCCCCACCCCUAUUACUUCAAACCAAACGCCCACAAGUUGCUCUCACAGGUAAUCUGUCGCGGUGUUUCUAUCGUAGCAUAGGGUUUGCGGCAGAUGCGCGGCCCUCCGACGAUCGCGUAAUGGCGUAGGGGCGACGAAACCGUGGGACUGGAUGCAGCCUCCGCCGACCUCCAUGUCACCGAGCGCAUCGGCAGGGAUGUCGCCGACCGCCUCGACCUCGAGGAGGCUAUCGAAGCCUCGCUCUAUGCUAGCCUCCCCCUACUCCACCCUCCCCAAAGAGGAACUCCUGUUCUUAUAGGAGAAAAGGAAAUUUUGGAGGAGUAUAUUUAGGUUGCUUCUGUUAGAAAGGUAUACACUAGGUUAGUGCUUUUUUACUUUCCAGAUUUCCAAUCAUGGACUUCACUUCUGUCGAGUUGCAGUUUGUAGAUUCACUGAUAUUACUACUAUGACAAUCCAGGUAAGAUUAACACAAGAGGAAUCACUUUGCUACUGUUAAUAACAAUUAGAUUUUUUUACCAUCCACACCUAGGCUUUUCUCAUUGGUACAUAACUGGAGCAGACCAGGAUGGCAUUGAAACUGAUGUUUUUGAUGAUUGGCCUUUUUUUUUAAUCUGUCAUUUGGCAAAGAAGGAAAGGAGUACUAUAUUGAAAAUGUUGGUUUUCCUAUAAAAUAAGUGCUCUUGCAUUAAUGAAAAAGAAACUCUUGAUCCAAAAGUAUUUGUUGUAUGCAUAAAAUCCUAUUUACAAAUUAUUUAAACUGACUUUUGGUUAAUUUAGUGAUCUUGGGCCGAUGUUGGUUGUUUAAUUUUUCCAAUUAGAUAAACUAGGAGGAAGAUACUUGAAUGGAAAAUGACAAUGAGUUAUUCUGAUCUCAGGAAUGAAAUUAUCUGUAAAUAAGAUUGAUUCAAACAACAAACUAAAUCUAUGACUCAACAUACUUAAAACCCUUCUUGCAUAGUGCAUCUAAGUAGUUAACAUAAUGUUGAAACUUCGCUGUCUGAGAUCUGUUCUUGCUGUACUCUGUGAGUGGGUUGGGUCUGUAUUUGCACAUACAUUAGGGACCACAGCUGUUGGCGCUUCUCCAAUCCUUGGUGGAUUACUCUUGUUACAACAGACAACAAUCAUCAACCAUGGAGCUCGAGAUAAGAUAACCAGUUUAGCAAAUGGGCAUACGGUCUCGUUACGUGAAGGGUUUAGGUCCAUUACCUAAACUAUCUGUAGUGGGUGAUUCUAGAGCCACAAACAUCAGUUCAAAACAUCAUUAUGAUUAUGAAAAAUUUGCAACUAUGCAGAAAACAAUCGAUGAAUAGAAUCUGACUAUACGUGAGCGGCAUCAAAAAUUUGAAACAUUAUUGCACCAACUUCAACAGGUCAUUCCUGGCUUCUCACUCCAGCCUCCACCAACAUGCUCUUCAAUUCGACCUCCUUCACCACCUCCCUCGCCUCCAUCAUCGACUAUGUAGUUUUUUAUUUUGCAAUAUUAUGUAAUGCGCAUUUUACUACUCAUGUUCUUUUGGAUAAUAUUUAACUAGUUGUGUUCAUGUUUUAAAAAUAUUUGACUAA